rnacentral:rRNA from 1 species
UCGCCGGCGACCGGCGCACGGGUGAGUAACGCGUAUCCACCCUUCCGGACACUCAGGGAUAGCCUUUCGAAAGAAAGAUUACUUCCUGAUGGUAUGAUGAGAUUGCAUGAUAGCAUCAUUAAAGAUUUAUCGGUGUACGAUGGGGAUGCGUUCCAUUAGGUAGUAGGCGGGGUAACGGCCCACCUAGCCUACGAUGGAUAGGGGUUCUGAGAGGAAGGUCCCCCACAUUGGAACUGAGACACGGUCCAAACUCCUACGGGAGGCAGCAGUGAGGAAUAUUGGUCAAUGGACGAGAGUCUGAACCAGCCAAGUAGCGUGAAGGAUGAAGGUCCUACGGAUUGUAAACUUCUUUUAUAAGGGAAUAAAACCUCCCACGUGUGGGAGCUUGUAUGUACCUUAUGAAUAAGCAUCGGCUAACUCCGUGCCAGCAGCCGCGGUAAUACGGAGGAUGCGAGCGUUAUCCGGAUUUAUUGGGUUUAAAGGGAGCGCAGACGGGUCGUUAAGUCAGCUGUGAAAGUUUGGGGCUCAACCUUAAAAUUGCAGUUGAUACUGGCGUCCUUGAGUGCGGUUGAGGUGUGCGGAAUUCGUGGUGUAGCGGUGAAAUGCUUAGAUAUCACGAAGAACUCCGAUUG